AUUCAGGGGUAGUUAGGGGGAUGCGUUUUUUUUUACUACUUUUAAAAGUUACUGGGGCCUCAAAAUAACAAAAAAGGUCACAAAAAACAAAAAAAAAUCACAAUUUAAUGUGAAAUCACAAGGCGAUGAAAAAAAUAUUAAAGAGGAGAGAAGUCUGAGAAAAACACAGACAUGGUCGUUCCGGACGGAAAUAAAAUCACAGAGGAGAGAAUAUUAAAAGAGAAUAUUACUCCAGGACCCCCUGAGAAACUAAUCCCAUCUGGAUAGGGCUAAAGUCAGUUUGUUGCUAAUUAUGUUACUAUUAAAUGUUUUUGCCUGGAAUGCAAGAUAUAAAACACUAAUGUUACAAUUUUAUUAAUGACUUUAAGAUAAAUAGCAAUACUGAUAAUAAAUCCCUUAUAAACAAAAUAAUAAGUCAUAGACUUACAGUUGUUCUGCUAUUUGUUUUAAAGGUGAGACAGACAUACAGAAAAUUUUCGGCUGGUUUAAGCUUUUGAAGGCCAUGUUUUAGACUAUUUUUGUUGGACCUGGCAACCCUGUAUUCAGUUUAACCAGAUAUUAGCUCUGCUACUGUUAGCUUUAGCUUUAUAUUUUACUUUACUUUAUUAUUUAUUAUGUAUACAUAUUUAGCUGUAAAGUAUCCACAUUCCUUAGAAGCUUUGGAGCUUUCCCUCAAAACUAAGAAAAAGCUGCAGUGUUUUCACAGACUCUUUUCUCUUUUUGGAGGCAGUCUGAUUGGUUCCCUUCCAGGAUUCCUAUAAAACAGCUGUAUGAAAUUCAGCAACCACCGGCUGUUCUCUUUUGUACCAGAAUGACCAGAGAGGUGAAUGAUUGGAUGCAGGACACAGACUACCUUCUGCUAAUCUGAUAGUAAGUGUAGUAACUGUUAAUUAUGGUUUUAAAGUGUUUUACAACAGUCUUGCAUAGGGGUGGGAAUCACA
rnacentral:lncRNA from 1 species